rnacentral:misc_RNA from 1 species
UACGGAGACCUCAAGCGUUAUUCGGUAUCACUGGGCUUAAAGCGUACGUAGGCGGCCUGGUAGGUGAGAUGUGAAAUCCCACGGCUCAACCGUGGAACUGCGUUUCAAACCACCAGGCUUGAGGAAGACAGGGGUGAUGGGAACUGAUGGUGGAGCGGUGAAAUGCGUUGAUAUCAUCAGGAACACCGGUGGCGAAAGCGCAUCACUGGGUCUUAUCUGACGCUGAGGUACGAAAGCUAGGGGAGCGAACGGG